CAUCGUCGUCUUCUUUUCGUAAAGCAAGUCUCUUUCCAUGCACAGACUUUGGUCUGCACAGACAAAAUAAGAGUCACAGCGCUGCCAGUUCAUAAUUAACAAUCCGAACGAGUAUCAGAACGUGACUUGAUAUAAAACACACGACGAAAGCAAACAAAAGACUAAGCAGCUUUCAAAUAAUCUGACCCAAUCAUGGCCCUUAAGACGCUAAUCAGAAUUUCAUCGCCUUGUUUGUUUUGUUUCGUUUUUUUCAGAUUCGACCGGUAUGUAUGACAAACUCCCCAACAUGACGUGUGUGCGUGCGUAUCUAUGUGGCCCAUCGUCGUGAUCGCGGACGAUGACAUGCGUCGAGUUCAUUAACCGCUAUACGUUGUGCUACCCGCUGCGACUAACAUCCCGUCAUUUCAAUCUUUAGGAACCAUCGUCUGCAUUCUUCCGUUACACGGCCAUCGAGUCACGAGAGGAUACGUGUUCCCUCCUCCCUACUGGCUCCUAUAUAACCGUCUAUACGUAUGCCUAAUGUGCUGUUACUGCUGCCGGAUUACACUGCAUAGUGCUGAAUCAUUUGGUAUUCAAGAACCAGACGACACGAUGAUUUACAGCCUCUACGUGUGUGUGUGUGUGUGAGUCUACAAUAUAUAUAGUACAUAUAUACAGCAGGAUAUAUAUGUUGUUACUCCAGAGCCCAGAGGUGCUGGUAAUAGCUUUUACACACACACACACACACACACACGAAUGUCUGUGGAGUAAGGAGACUAUACGAGAGCGGAGAGCCAUGGAAAUAUGCUGGUGCCCUGUGCUAUUUUGUUCCUUCUAUUUCUCUCUCGUUCAGUUUGGAUAGAUAUUUUUCUUUCGAAUGUAUAUAGUAUGUUGCAAUUCAAGGAGUUGAGAAGGGCCAAUAGCCAGCCACCAUAUCUGAAGAAGAGGCCACCAAUUGACCAUCACCGUCAGUUGCAGAUGGUUAUCUAUCACGGCCAACCGACCGGGAGCAGUGUAUCUCAACUGUCGCGUGCGGGGGGACCCAAAGGGUAGUGACCAACUUUGGCCCUUGUAUGCAAAUCAAAUCGUUCUCCUUUCACAUAACUCCCCUGAUACUUUCUUCCCAUCCAACCCCGUCCUUUCUAUGUACACCAAACAAGCAACCAUUCACCCAUUUCGGAGCUGUCUCAAACUUUUUCUUUUUUUUUGCCUCCCGUUGGACCCUUCUUGCGCCCUCUAUAUUUUAUGCCAACCGGCUAACAAUCAAAUUAUGCUAAUCGACUCUAUAACGUGCGUCCAAUUUUGUGUCAAAACCCUCCCCAAACGUCAAAUCGCAUCAGUUUAUCAUGAAAGCGCGGCAGUGGCAACGGAUCUUCCGGUUGACUAUUCAUGUUGCGACGGAAUCGACGGCGGUGGCGCUGGACGCCAAGGACCCCAUUAAACACGACACACACACACACACACACACAAAAAUAGGUUGCAUCCCGCACAUUACGCAACGAUCCAAAGUUCCUCGUUCACGCUUUGUUUACACAUCAAUAUCUUCUGCUGCCUCGUGCAGAACAUUUGCUCUCUCAAAAACAUACUAAUAAUAAUAAUAAUAAAUAAUAAUAAAA
rnacentral:lncRNA from 1 species